rnacentral:lncRNA from 1 species
GCUCUUUACAGGACUUAUUUUUUUUUAAGAGAGAAAGAGGUAUUAUAUAAUACUGAUGUAAUAGAAUGCAGUUGGAGUUCCAGCAUGCAAUAGAGUAACUAUGGUAUUCUUGAAAAGGCAGAUUCUCAGUUAAAAUCUUCCCAUUUUAGAAAAACAAGGAGGCUCAAAUUAUGUUACGUUGAUAUCUGUAGAUUGCUCAGUAUUGUCCAGGACCGUGGGAGUGCAUGAGCAAGAAUACGGGGGGGCUCUGGUUCCACAUCCUUGUUUUACAAGUAAGGAAACUGAGGCACAGAGACAUUCCCUGCUCAAGGUUCAUAGCUGCUCAGUCCAGGUCCUCAUAGCUGCUCAGUCAGGUCCUCAUAGCUGCUCAGUCCAGGUCCUCAUAGCUCAGUCCAGGUGCUCAUAGCUGCUCAGUCCAGGUCCUCAUAGCUGCUCAGUCCAGGUCCUCAUAGCUCAGUCCAGGUCCUCAUAGCUGCUCAGUCCAGGUCCUCAUAGCUGUUCAGUCCAGGUCCUCAUAGCUGUUUAGUCCAGGUCCUCAUAGCUGUCAGUCCAGGUCCUCAUAGCUGUCAGUCCGGGUGCUCAUAGCUGUCAGUCCAGGUCCUCUGCCUCCAGUAUGCAGAACUCUGCACACGGGAGGAGGAAGCUUCUGUCUGCGGCUCUCAGCUUCCUCUUCAUCCGUGAAGGGAGCAGUCGGCGAGUGUGAGUGGGUGUCCAGGCUGCCUCCUGGGGCCUCAUGCUGUUUAAAAAACAUCCACC